rnacentral:rRNA from 1 species
AUGGACGCGGAGCUCCUGGAGCUGCAGCGGCAGCUGGAGGCGGCGCAGAGCGCGCGGUCGAGCGUGCGGCUGUCGGAGCGCAACGUGGUGGAGCUCGUGCAGAAGCUGCAGGAGCGCGGCCUCAUCGACUUCGAGCUCCUCCACACCGUCUCCGGCAAGGAGUACAUCACAUCCGACCAUUUGAAGCAUGAGAUUAAGGUGGAGAUCAAGAAGCGAGGGCGCGCAUCACUAGUCGAUUUAUCAGAUACCCUGGGGGUGGAUCUUUACCAUAUUGAGAGGCAGGCACAAAAGGUCGUCACGGAGGAUCCGGCCCUGAUGUUGAUCAACGCGGAGAUCAUGUCACAGUCUUACUGGGACACUGUGACAGAAGAGAUAAAUGAGAAGUUGCAAGAGCGCAGCCAGAUUGCCUUGGCUGAGAUUGCUGCACAGUUACACAUUGGCUCAGAGCUGGUCCUCAAUAUUCUCGAGCCUCGGCUUGGAACUAUUGUGCAAGGAAGGCUAGAAGGUGGCCAGCUAUACACUCCAGCAUACGUCUCCCGAAUUACUGCCAUGGUCCGUGGUGCGACAAGGGGUUUAACAGUUCCGACAAACUUGCCAUCUGUCUGGAACUCCUUGCAGCAACAGCUCCAAGAAAUGCACGGUGCUAAUGGAGUUUCAGUGGAAGGUUCAUUCUUCCAGUCCAUUUUUGUUGCCUUGCUAAAAGAAGGUGCUGUACUUGGGUCUGUCCGUGCCGGAGUACAUUGGACACCAGCUGUAUUUGCUCAUGCUCAAAAGGAAAGCGUUGAUGCAUUUUUUUCACAGAACUCUUAUAUUGGGUACGAAGUACUUCAGAAACUCGUCAUUCCCCAUCCUAAACAGUACUUAGAGGCCAGAUAUCCAGAUGGCAUUGCACUGGAGGCUGUUUUUGUACAUCCUUCUGUUGUCGAUAUGCUAGAUGCUGCUGUGGGUGACGCAAUCGAGAACGGACAAUGCUUUGCGCCUUUCCUAUUGACUGUUAGUAAUCCCUUUUUCUGCCAAGCUAAGCACCUCUCAACUCUCAAGUUUUCAUUGCUACAAGAUACCCUUUAUUUUUCCAGGAUUGAUUCUCUUUCGAUCCUUCCAUCAUAUAUCAGUGGCCCUGAUGCAACCAAGAUAUUGUCUCUUUGUCCAUCUUUUCAGAAGGCAGCCAAGUCUUCAAAAGCAGUGCUAUUUGGAGGAUCAUGUGUCUUCAGCAAUGUGUUCAUUAAGGGUAUUUUUGAUCAACUUGAGAAAGAGAUCGACUCCUUUGGUAUUAAACAUAGUGCUGGUCAAGGAACGCCCGUGAAUAUGAAUUCAAGUAGCGAGCAUAGGGCAGGAUCUGUCCAGUACUCGGACACAAAAGACUUUGGUGAUAACGACGCCAGCAGUACAGGUGCUUCAUCAGACAGAGGACCAAAGAAGAAACGCGGAAAAGCUACGGGGUCUGCCAAAGGCGGAGCAGUUGAGAAGGAUGAUGAUGAAGAAAUCAUCCCUGUAAAGGGCAAGAAAGCUCAUAGGAAAAACAAGGACAUUGGUUCUUCAGGUGAUGCGAAGCGCGGUGGUAAAAAGGCACCAGAGAAACCAAAAGAGGAGAACACAAAUAUCUUCCCCGAUGAGUUGAUAGAGCAAAAGGUUUUGGCUGUUGCUCCAGAGUUAGAAGAGUUGGGAGGCUCAGACGACUUAAAUGGCCCAAUUAAAUUAUUGUCCUCUCACCUGAGGCCAAUGCUUAUUGAUGCAUGGAAGAAGAAAAGGAACACCAUGCUGUCAGAAAAUGCUGAAAGGAGGCGAAGUGUACUUGAUAAUCUGCAAAAGCAGCUAGAUGAGGCUGUCCUCGAUAUGCAACUCUAUGAAAAAGCUCUAGAUGUGUUUGAGGAUGAUCCUGCUACCUCUGGCAUAUUACACAAGCAUCUGCUAAGAACUAUGGGUACUCCAAUAGUCGACAAGAUUUUAUCUAGUCUGGAUAGGGACAACAAAUUGAAGAAUGGAAUGGAGUAUGAAGACAGUGAAGAACAGCAUGCUCAGCUGAGCACUACUGACCGCACUUUUCUGGCAAAGGAUCUUCCUGGGCAAUUGUCAUCGAAGGCUCAAGCUUUAGUUGAAGCACUGGAGGGAAAGCGGUUUGACUCAUUUAUGGACGCCUUAAGAGAUACAGCAGAGGAAAGUGGCUUGUUAUUUAAGAAGCUUGAUAAAAGACUUGAGCGAUCAAUGCUGCAUUCCUACCGCAAGGAUUUGAUAGCACAAGUUUCUUCAGAGACUGAUCCAGUUUCCUUCCUCCCAAAAGUCGUUGCUCUACUUUUUCUCCAGGCACACAACAAGGGUCUUCAGGCACCUGGAAGGGCUGUUGGUGCUGUCAUCACACUACUGAAGGACAAGCUACCAGCUUCAACCUUCAAGGUUUUAACCGAAUAUCAUGCCACUACCGUGAAAGUUCUCGCACUACAAGCUGCUGCCACGGGUGAUGAAGACGAUUGUGCAUCGGACCGGAUGCUGGAGAAGAAGGAAGACCUAGAAGAGAGGCUGAUGCCAGAACUCAAAUCCCUGGCCCUCGGCACGAGCAAAGAGUGA